UAAAUCGGGCGCUUCUUUGGUUAAUCGGGGUAACAAAGCUCUUCCCUAAAAUAAAUCACAUGUUUCCCUCUUUAAUAAAAGUCUUUAUGAAUAUUCAUUUUGCUUUUACUCAUAAACUACGAUUAAUUUUAAUUCAUCACAUAAAUUAUUUCAAUUUUCUUUGUUUCCAAAACAGUGAUCUAGAUUGCUUGAGUUAAUCAGUUUAAUGAAAAUCUUAAUUGUCAACUUACAUUCAUCCAACUUUCUGAGUUACGUUAUGCUAAGCUUUUUUUAUAUUUUGUUUGUUAAUUUUAUAUUUGUUUCAACUUAUAACUGAUUACCGGAUUAGCAAAUAUGGAAUAUUAUCAGUUUUUGUGUCAAAAUCCUCAUAAAUUAUCUUGUCAUAAUUUCGAGAAAUCAAGUUCAAAAUGUCUUACAAUCUAUUGUUAAAAUUUUGGCUUUUUUACACAAAGCUGUUCACUUGUAACGGUCAUCUUUUAGAGUCAAUUUUUUCAAUUAACGAUCUUUGGCAUCCUAAGGUUUUUAAAAGUUGACCUGAUGAUCGAUAUAUGGAUGAUUUUUUGGUAUAAAGAUCUUCAGACGAUCCCUGGUUUAUGAUAAAGAGAUAGACAAAGAAAUGGUAAAGAUUAAAAAGACCCAAAUAUUAUAUAAUGAUAAAAGAAUGGUAAUUUGAUAAUAAUAAUGGCGAUAAUUAGAUGAGAGUUGAAUCCAGAAGGUUUGAAGAUACAUGUCAAUGAUUGCUGUUAAUAUUGCAUAUUAUAUAAUACAUUAAUAUGUACAUUUAGGACAACAUUUGUCUUGUAUAUAAAAAAAACAUGGAGGACAUUUUUUAGGGUAAAAAAAUUUGGUUCAAUGAUGAUGAUAAUUGUGGUUAAAUUGGUAAAACCUCUUCAACUGUAUAAACCUAUCAUUCCUGGUGGUUACAAUUGAGAUGACUCAGGCUAGUAACGAUAAAUAAAACGGAACGAUACUAAUUUAAUAAUCGAUUGAUAUUCUUGUUCCUUUUUUCAGGUUCAUUUUGCAUACAUUUAUUUUUUUACUCUUGCCUGCCUCUUCCCGGUUACAUUUUUUCAGUUACCACAAUUAUAUUCAAGGAUAAUCUUUGGUACACAAUUGACGACUUGAUGGUUCAAAGUUACCUGGAUAGUGAUAAUAGCCGUACCAUUAGUAAUCAAAUCUGGCUCAAAUUGGAAAACAUCAUUUGAAUAAUUCUAGAUAAUUAAUCAACUCCUGCAAGUGCAAGGCAAAUAUGAUCAAAUUUUGGAUGACUUCACCAUUGCGAUAAAGGCUACCAGUUUGAACUAAUUUUUGCUGGUCUUAUAUUCAAAUUCAAACAUUAAUCAACACUGAUUAGCUUUAAAUCAGCACAAAGUUACUCACGGUGCUGAUGAUGAAGGGAAAAAGGAGAAGCAAACAGGAUAAAAAUCAAAGCUGUCAACAACAAGACUCUUCCAAAAAUGUGAUAUGUAACUUGUCACAAGCAAGAAACAAAUGUCUUCAUGGUUACAUCUUUAAUUUAGGGUUUUAACCUGAUUUUCAUCGUUGUUUUUCUUGCUGCUUGGUUCGCUAUUAGCUUGGCCACUAAAUAUCAAGAAUCAUCAUGAUGAUGAAUCAAAAUAUAUUUAUAUAUGAAUCACGCCCUUAGUAUGUGUAAUAUAUUGGAAAAAGCACACAAUAUUUCAUUUUA